CACGUAGGCGGCUUUCUAAGUCGGGGGUGAAAUCCUGGAGCUCAACUCCAGAACUGCCUUCGAUACUGGAAAGCUCGAGUCCGGGAGAGGUGAGUGGAACUGCGAGUGUAGAGGUGAAAUUCGUAGAUAUUCGCAAGAACACCAGUGGCGAAGGCGGCUCACUGGCCCGGUACUGACGCUGAGGUGCGAAAGCGUGGGAGCAAACA
rnacentral:rRNA from 1 species